AGGAAGUCUCCUUGACACAAAAGAUUGCAUCUCUUCACUCCCCUCCCUCCUCUUCCUAGCUCUACAGCUCCACUUCCUAUUUCACCGCCCACGUUAAAGAUGGCCGAACGAACAACUUCCGCCCCGAAGCUGCCGUUUCCAAUGAGCGGAAAGCUUAAAGGAACGCCCUCCUUUUUCCGCUUUUCUGCGCCGCCUGGGGGGGGGGUCUUUCUGGGAAGCGCAUGCGCGAAGGCGGGCUGCUUUUUGGGGGGCACCAGAGUGGGCUCCUUGAGGGGCGACGAUGGCGGCGGGGUGCCGGGGGGGAUGUUGCGGGUGCUGUUGCUGCUGCUGUGGGGAAAGAGAGAGCCGCACCCCGGAAGAGCUGACUAUCCUUGGAGAGACCGAGGAUGAAGACGAUGAAAUUCUGCCCCGUAAAGACUAUGAGAGUUUGGAUUAUGAUCGGUGCCUCAACGAACCGUACUUGGAAGUCCUAGAAAGUCUCGAUAACAAGGUAAGAC